AUUGAACGCUGGCGGCAGGCUUAACACAUGCAAGUCGAGCGAGCGGCGGACGGGUGAGUAAUGUCUGGGAAACUGCCUGAGGGAGGGGGAUAACUACUGGAAACGGUAGCUAAUACCGCAUCCCAUCAGAUGUGCCCAGAUGGGAUUAGCUAGUAGGUGGGGUAAUGGCUCACCUAGGCGACGCUCCCUAGCUGGUCUGUGAGGAUGAACAGCCACACUGUGACUGAGACACGGCACGUACUCCUACGGGAGGCAGCAGUGUGGAAUAUUGCAGUAUGGGCGCAAGCCUGAUGCAGCCAUGCCGCGUGUGUGAAGAAGGCCUUCGGGUUGUAAAGCACUUUCAGCGAGGAGGCGUUACUCGCAGAAGAAGCACCGGCUAACUCCGUGCCAGCAGCCGCGGUAAUUC
rnacentral:rRNA from 1 species